CAGAAAUUCUGCAAUGACAGUCUGACAGUUUUCCAAUUGUGUCCCGAUGAUCUAGAUAUUUUAGAGGUGGUGACAACUAUUCAGAAUGUUCGAGCAGUCCGGAGAUUUGAACGGGUUAUAAACUUUGCCAAACUGGGAGGAAAAGGAAGACGACAUAGUAUUUGCUAAAAUAACAAUUUAAAGUAAAAUUCACGUUUUAUUGAAAUCUUUUAUAUUUUUAAUCUGCUCCUGUUGAGAAGGUCAGACAAAAGAAUGUUUGAAUUUGUAAUUACACCUGUUCGUAAAAUCAAUAAUAAAUAAGUUUUGAGGUCACAAAGGCAUACCAGUAAUGUCGCAAAAAUUUGAACCUCUUCUGAAAAAUUGGAUUUUAAUAUUUUAUUUCAUUUAUGAAUAAAGAUAUCCCCUUUAUACCUUUU